rnacentral:rRNA from 1 species
UACGUAGGGUGCAAGCGUUGUCCGGAAUUAUUGGGCGUAAAGAGCUCGUAGGCGGUUUGUCGCGUCGAAUGUGAAAACCCGGGGCUCAACCCCGGGCCUGCAGUCGAUACGGGCAGACUAGAGUGUGGUAGGGGAGAUCGGAAUUCCUGGUGUAGCGGUGAAAUGCGCAGAUAUCAGGAGGAACACCGGUGGCGAAGGCGGAUCUCUGGGCCAUUACUGACGCUGAGGAGCGAAAGCGUGGGGAGCGAACAGG